UAGGGAAUCUUCGGCAAUGGACGAAAGUCUGACCGAGCAACGCCGCGUGAGUGAAGAAGGCUUUCGGAUCGUAAAACUCUGUUGUUAGAGAAGAACAAGGACGUUAGUAACUGAACGUCCCCUGACGGUAUCUAACCAGAAAGCCACGGCUAACUACGUGCCAGCAGCCGCGGUAAUACGUAGGUGGCAAGCGUUGUCCGGAUUUAUUGGGCGUAAAGCGAGCGCAGGCGGUUUCUUAAGUCUGAUGUGAAAGCCCCCGGCUCAACAGGGGAGGGGCAUUGGAAACUGGAAGACUUGAGUGCAGAAGAGGAGAGUGGAAUUCAGUGUGUAGCGGUGAAAUGCGUAGAUAUAUGGAGGAACACCAGUGGCGAAGGCGGCUCUCUGGUCUGUAACUGACGCUGAGGCGCGAAAGCGUGGGGAGCAAACAGG
rnacentral:rRNA from 1 species